rnacentral:rRNA from 1 species
GACGAACCGUGCGAACGUUAUUCGGAAUCACUGGCUUAAAGCGCGUGUAGGCGGGCCGGCACGUCGGACGUUGAAAUCCCCCGGCUCAACCGGGGAAGGGGCGCCGAUACGACCGGCCUGGAGGAACGUAGGGGGAGCUGGAACUUCCGGUGGAGCGGUGAAAUGCGUUGAGAUCGGAAGGAACGCCCGUGGCGAAAGCGAGCUCCUGGACGUUUUCUGACG